UAACCCGACUUCUAUCUUAAC
rnacentral:piRNA from 1 species